ensembl:lncRNA NUP93-DT NUP93 divergent transcript
GGGCCUUGGGCCAAACCGUCACCCCUGGGCCACAGGCAGCCACGGACCUCGCCUUUCCCACUUGGUUAGAGUCGGCUCUGCCGGGAGAAAGCGAUUCCAGAAUUCCCUAAGUUAAAGGAAUUUCUUACUCCUUCUUGAGCGCCAUCCAAGGGCCAGGCCUUAGUCUAGGAACUGGCAACACCGUGGCGACCACGUCAGACAAGAUCGCUGCCCUCAUUGAGUUCCCAGGUUGGCAGGGGAAACAAAAAUGUAAUAAAUAACUGCACUUUGCAAGAAGAGCUAUGAAGAAAAAACAGGGUGAUGGGAGAGAGAAUGCUUGGAUGUUGAAGGGAGGCCUUUCUGAGAUGGCGACAUCUUGAGCUGAAUAAAGAAGGAUGAGAAAGGAUGGGGCUUGCAAAGUUCUGGCUUCAAAGAAUUCCAGGCAGAGGGAACAAGAGUGAAGUCUCCAGGGGAAGCCAGCUUAGUGUUUGGAGACUAGAAAGAAGGGGUGUGCGGCUGGAAGAUGCUGGAGGUAGAGGACGGAAACUCAAAAGAUGAUUGAAGAUUAAAAAACAAGAUGAUUGAGGCUGGACUUCUCAAAACCUUGCUGCAGCCUGAGCUUGAGCGUUUGUGAGCUUUGCAGCCAGAUAUGAACAGAAGACAGAUUCAUUUCCUGCUGCCUGCUUCUCCAACCCCAAAUCUCCCAGUUUGAUCCGAGAGCCCUGAAGAUUUGCCUUCACCCGGCGCCCCCCAGAUGCUUCUUUUUAAGCCUUGCUUGUAAAUAGGUGUCAGUAAGGGUCUCACCAUGCAGGAUGUGGGCGUGUGGGUGCUCCAGAUCCCCACACCGGCUGUCACCAUCCCCCUGCUGUUGCCAGUGCAUCCCUUGAGGAUGCCUGGCAGGUUACACCCCACCCCGGGGGCAAAUGGUGACUGACAACAGAACAAGUGCUCACCUGCUUGCCCCACAGCAGGACAGUUCAGUGGGAGGAAUUUGUUCUAGAGCACCCUGGAUCAGGCCAAGGCUUUCCCCUUCCAUAUUCGGCUUCUUUUGCUCCUCUAAUAAGUCACGCAUGUGGAGCCCUAAGGAGCUAAAAGAAAAUUGGAAAUGAGCUUAGCUGGCAAGAACAGACACAGGGGUAGAGGGGAGUGAAUGUUCUGAGAAAUAGGGUCAACAGCAAACAGCUCACUAGCACCCAAACAUCCUGUUGCAAGCAUUCAGCUCACAGCCCACCUGCACCCAAGCUUCCUGUCUGCAAGCCUUCAGCCCAGACAGCACAACUUUAUAAAGUCCCCUGCAGCCCCUGCCUUUUUGCAGACAGCAUUCCCUCUGCUAUGUUGCUCGUUGCUCCCUUGGAACAUAUGUCCCGCUUUUCUCUAAUAAAUCUACCUUUCUUUCCCAACAA